rnacentral:rRNA from 1 species
UACGUAGGGGGCUAGCGUUGUCCGGAAUCAUUGGGCGUAAAGAGCGUGUAGGCGGCCCGGUAAGUCCGCUGUGAAAGUCGGGGGGCUCAACCCUCGAAUGCCGGUGGAUACUGUCGGGCUAGAGUGCGGAAGAGGCGAGUGGAAUUCCUGGUGUAGCGGUGAAAUGCGCAGAUAUCAGGAAGAACACCUAUGGCGAAGGCAGCACUCUGGGACGGUACUGACGCUGAGACGCGAAAAGCGUGGGGGAGCGAACAGG